GCAGGAGCCUUUUUCGGCGCCGCUUUGGGAGCUGCCGCCACUUUCUUUCCCGGAGUUGUCCUAGUCGAAGUCCUGGAUGCCUUGGCAGGUCGCUCUUUAGGCUUAGGUCUAGUCGGAGUUGCCUUAGGUUUUGCAGCAGGCUUAGACUUAGCAGGCGCAGCUUUUGGCUUAGCAGCAGCUUUAGGUUUAGCAGCUGCCUUAGGCUUUGCCUUAGUCUUAGUAGCAGCAACAGCUGCAGCUGCCUUCUUCUUCGCAGGAGCACUGGCAGCUGCCUUAGUUGACUUGGCUUCCUUUGGUUUAGCUGCCGCAGCCUUAGGCUUGGCCUUGGCCUUGGUUUUGGUGGAUGCUUUGGCAGCAGGUUUCUUCUUAGAUUUUGACGGAGGUGGAGCAGCUGGCUUAGGUGCCGAUGAUUUCACUGGAGGAAGCUUGAAAGAUCCUUUCACCUUCACAAUCUUGCCGGCAGCUACAAGCUUCUUCA
rnacentral:lncRNA from 1 species